CAUAUAGAUGCCUUAAUUAAUGGGGUGGCAAUACAUACUCUUGGGAAUCUGGGGAGGGGGGGGGUGAUUAGUAGGGGGGAGCAUACAAUAUUAUUUCUUUAUUAACUGCGGGAGGAGGGGAGGGCAUGACUUACUUUAUAGAUUUAGUGGGGUGGGUGGGGAGGGGGGAUAUAUUUUACUGGGGUGUUAGAGUAGGGGGUGAAGGGGCUGGGGUAGGCAUAUGAAGGAGGGGUGAUGGAAGGGGUGAUAGAAACGAGGGGUGUAUGGAGGUUGCUGGGGUUGGCAAAUGAAGGGGGUUACUGAGAUAUAGGGGUGAUGGAAGGGGUGAGAGGCUUGGGGGGAGUAUGAAGGAGGUUACUGGGGUGUUGAAGGGGUGAAAGGGGCUGGGGUGGGCAAAUAAAGGGGGUUACUUGGUAUAGGGGUGAUGGAAGGAGUGUGAGAGGCUGAGGGGUGUAUGGAGGGGUGUUGAAGCGGUGUUUUGGGGGCUUGGGUGGGGCGUAAAAUCUAUUGUGUUGGAGAGAUUACUGGCGGGACAAGAUUGUAUUUAUCACAAUACUGGAGUUUAUAUUUUACUGGGGUGGGUGUACGUUUGGGGAGGGGGGAUUACUGGUUUCCUGGAGGGGGGGGGUACUGUACUGGGGUCAACAUUACAUAUCACAAUACCGUAGUUCAUAUUUACUGGGGUGGAUGUAGCGGAGGGGUUAGUUAGCGGCACUUGUAAUGGGUUCUAAGGUAGUUUUAUAGAAGGGGGAAGUUAAUCUGUUUAUCACAAUACUGCACUUUAAUAUUUAUCGGGGUGGAGAUGGGGUGCGUUAUGGGUGCAAUUCUAUAUAUUUAUUGUGUGGGGGAGUGGAUGGGUUAGUGGGGGGGUGCUGGAGGGGGGGGGGGGUUAUAUAAUAGUUAAAUUUAUUACUAAAGUGGGGGUGAUAUUUUUAAAGGGUAUCUGCUGGGGGGGGGUUACCUAUGGGGGGCAUCUGGGGGAAGGGGGGGGGGAGGGAAAUACAAUACUCUAUAAUAAUUCUUCUCUUUUUAUAACAAUAUUUGGGAUGCGUUCCAUUAGAUAACUCUCUCUCUCUCUCUCUCUCUCUCUCUCUCUCUCUCUCUCUCUCUCUCUCUCUGGAUGACAUGGAAUAUAUUAGUUUACGAUCACUGGCUUAUUUAAAUCUACACCUUAAUUAGUUUUACCUGAAGAAGAAAGGACAGGUGAGAAAGUUAGGCAUUUAGGAAGAUAGUAAGGAAAAGUAAGAAGGAAGAAAGAGAGGAAGAAAAGAUAAAUGUAGGAAAGGCAGAGAAGGGAAGGAAGGAAAGGAAGAAAGGGAGAAAGGUUGAAGAGAUAAUAUAAGGAAGGGAGGAAGAAAAGUAGAAAAGAAAGACGGGAAGAAAAGAUAAAGUAAGAUAGAAAAGAUUAGAUAAGGAAGGAAGAUGAACAUGCAGGUGGACUAAUUACUGGGCUGUGUCUCUCUAUCUAUCCUACACACCUGUACUCUUGUGUAGUAUUGGGGGCGGGACAGGGGGGGCAGGUGUGUGUGUAUGUUGGGGAAGAGGAGGAGGGUUAAGGCAAGUAGGGGGGUAUGGGGGUAGUGUUUGUGCUUGUGUGUAUGUGCGUAUGUGUGCGUAUAUGUGUGUGUAUGUGUGAGUGUUUGUGUGUGUAUCUAAGUUGCUGUCAUCAUUAUUCACACACACACACACACACAUACAUACACGUUCUCCGCCCCCCCAUAAAAUAAAGGUCGUCAAUAUAGUAUACAUCAAACUCACACACAAUAUACACAUCAACAUUAUGGUACACAGAGACAGGUGAGUUGACAAGGCUAUUAGAGGUACAUACACACACAUGCAAAAGUCCCAUCAUACAGUUUUAGAGAGGUGUUUGGAUAUUAGUGAGGUUACAGGAGUAGAAAGGCAAUUAUCUACUUUGGCUUGCGGUGUGAUGAUGAUGAUAAUGAUGAUGAUGAUGAUGAUGAUGAUGAUGAUGAUGAAGAGGAGGAGGAGGAAGAGGGUGAUGAUGAGGGCAAGGAGUAGAAGGAGGAAAAAGAAAAGUGACAUUCAGUGCAAUUUUUAACCCGUGGGCUUUGGCUAUGGGAAAGCCGAGAAGUGGCCGAGAAACGUCAACAUUACACUGCAUUUUGAGACUAAGAAAAGAGCAUGGAAUGUAUAUCAGAGUACUCCUCUCAUAACCAUAAAGCCGUUAAAAAUAUUUACUUUUACUCAAACUCCAUUGUUUUUGGGUGGUGUUUGUUACAAAAUAAACAGUCUCGUGACGCGUGGCAUCUAGAUGAGGGUCGCUUGUUGUCUACUAUAGAGAAUUUGACAAGUGAUUACUGUAUGGAUAGCUAAUUCAGUCUGCCAUGACCUUACAGCACCACCUAUGACAAAUAAGCCCACCUCAAGAUCACUCACCCACCACAACGACCCAGGGCAUGCAUGGUGGGUUGCUCUAUGCCGCCACCACCUACAAUUAGCUCGAAUUAAGGGUUUUGAGCCGAGCCCGCCCUAUAUGGGGUCCGCCGAAGCUGCCGGGUUAAAGGAAUUGAUCGUUUUUGCACUAACCUCUCCUCUCCUCUCCAGGAUGCUUGUUGCUGUGGCAGAUGACUCGGUUUGAGAGAGGAAAUAUAUAUAAAUAAAAGCUCUUGUUUAUGUCUGUAUUGCAUUGCCUUGCUCGACUCCAAAGACCAUCAUUAAUUUCUAGUUCUUGGGUUAGUUAAAGCUAAAAAAAUAAGUGUGAUCGACGUUACUGAACUCAUUUAGGUACUUCCAGACCUGUAUCAGAUUCUUCAUAGCUAGGAGGAGGAGGAGGAGGAGGAGGAGGAGGAGGAGGAGGAGAAUGAGGAAGAGAAAAUGACAAAGGGGGAGAAGGAGGAGGAGGAGGAAGAGAAGAUUACAAAGGGGGAGAUGAAGGAAGAGGAACACAAAAGAACACAAAGGAAGAAUAAACAACAGCAGACAGAGGAAAAGGGGGUGGAGGAGGAGGAGGAGGGGUAUGCUGGAGAAGGUUUAAAUGCCAACAACAACAACAACAACAGCAACAUGCCAAUGGGCCGAUCAAAUCAAUUAUAAUUUUGCUUCAUACACAAAACAUACUAAAUUUUUUUCACUUCAAAUGGCAGUGACAAAAAAAAAAAAUAAAUAAAUAAAUAAAAAAAAAGGUCUAAUCCAGUUACACAUUUUUCUAUAUUUCACUCGGAAGGUAAAAAGAAAAACGAAAACGCCAUUGAAAACUUGUAAAUAUAGGCCUACAUAUAUAAACACAAAUAAAUAAAUAAAUAAAAACCAAGUAAACCUCUAUAGAAGUAAAGCUACAUUACUUGAGAGAAAAUCUAGUGGUAAAAAUAUAAAUAAGUAAAAAAAUAAAUAACAAUAAAAAAGAAAAAGUGUUACCAGAUCUUAAGUGUUCCCUCACUCAACAUCCCCUGGACUAUUUAGCUUAUGUGGGAGGGGGAGUUAGGGGGGGGGAAGGGAAGGGUAUAUGGGUGGGUAUGUGUGUGAAUGAGCCAGUCAGUCAGUCAGUCAUCCAGUCAGUCAGUCAGUCAGCCAGCCAGUCAGUCGUCCAGUCAGUCAGUCAAUCAGCCAGUCAGUCAUCCAGUCAGUCAGUCAGUCAGCCAGCCAGUCAGUCGUCCAGUCAGUCAGUCAAUCAGCUAUUUCACCAGCCAGCAAGUUAAAUCAGUCAGCCAGCCAGUCAUUCAGUCAGUCAGUCAGUCAGCUAUUUCACCAGCCAGCACGUCAAUCAGUCAGUCAGCCAGCCAGUCAUUCAGCCAGCCAUUCAGCCAGUCAGUCAGUCAGUCAGUCAUGGCAGUAAGGCAGAAUAGGCAGCAGUGUACAUACAAAUCAAGCUCAUUCACUAUGCAUACAUACAUACAUACGUAGCUGCCGAUACAUUCACGACAGGGAGACAAGAGUGCCGUUACCGAAUAUACAUACAAAAACAGCUUUCCCGAGAGACUUAAUUUGUAUCUUCAUAAAUAAACACUUCUAAAGGGCCACACAGGCAAUACAAUCUUCCGAGGCAAAGAGUCCAGUCAACGUAAACGAUAAGAGGGGAAAAAAUACGUUUUGUUUGUAGCGCAUACAUAAUAAUAUGUAUCUUCGUAAAUAAACACUUCUGAUGGAUUAUACAAGCAAUACAAUCUUCCGAAGUUAUCAAUGUGAGUGAUGACGUAAGAAAAUAUUAGUUUUGUUCGUAGCGUAUACAUAAGAAUCUGUAUCUUCGUAAAUAAACACUUCUGAUGGAUUAUACAAGCAAUACAAUCUUCCGAAGUUAUCAAUGUGAGUGACGACGUAAGAAAGUGGAUUAUAAAAGCAAUACAAUCUUCCGGAGUUGUCAAUGUGAAUGAUGACGUAAGAAAAUGGAUUAUACAAGCAAUACAAUCUUCCGAAGUUAUCAAUGUGAGUGAUGACGUAAGAAAAUAUUAGCUUUGUUCGUAGCGCAAACAUAAUAAUCUGUAUCUUCGUAAAUAAACACUUCUGAUGGAUUAUACAAGCAAUACAGUCUUCCGAAGUUAUCAAUGUGAGUUAUGAUGGAGGAAAAUGGAUUAUAAAAGCAAUACAAUCUUCCGAAGUUAUCAAUGUGAAUGAUGACGUAAGAAAGUGGAUUAUACAAACAAUACAAUCUUCCGAAGUUAUCAAUGUGAGUUAUGAUGGAGGAAAAUGGAUUAUAAAAGCAAUACAAUCUUCCGGAGUUAUCAAUGUGAAUGAUGACGUAAGAAAAUGGAUUAUACAAACAAUACAAUCUUCCGAAGUUAUCAAUGUGAGUUAUGAUGGAGGAAAAUGGAUUAUAAAAGCAAUACAAUCUUCCGAAGUUAUCAAUGUGAGCGAUGAUGUAAGAAAAUGGAUUAUACAAACAAUACAAUCUUCCGAAGUUAUCAAGGUGAGUUAUGAUGGAGGAAAUGGAUUAUAAAAGCAAUACAAUCUUCCGAAGUUAUCAAUGUGAGCGAUGACGUAAGAAAAUGGAUUAUACAAACAAUACAAUCUUCCGAAGUUAUCAAUGUGAGUUAUGAUGGAAGAAAAUAUCAGUUUUGUUCGUAGCGGAGACGUAGAAUCUAUAUCUCUGUCGUUUUGGGCCUGGGUGAGUUCAAGAAAAGUAAACAUUAUAUUUUUCUAGUUGGCAACUUGCUCGAUUUUUCUUAUGGGAGCGGCGGGUUGUGGACACGAUUAGUAAUGUAUUCAUGUCUUAACUUUUGUCUGCAUUUCCCAACGUUGCCAGAUUGUCAGAUUGUUCAUGGACUGGCUGGUACACAGUGGGCUUCUCCUUUACUUGUUUAUGCCACUCAACACAGGCCGGUAAAAGGCGGUCAAAUGAAAGCAAAAUAUGAAGCAGGAAACAUGAUGGACAGGCAAAAGUACAGGACUGAGUGGAAAAAAAAGUCACCUUCACACAGCGGCGCCACGGACAGGAAAACGGCAAUACACUCAGAAACAAACACGGAUGAUUUAGGAAUGAAGUGAGGCCGGCAGUGUUGCAUCGGCCCUCACCAACACACGCACGAAACCCGGGAUUGCCACAGUUUACCUUCCCUAGCUUUCCCCAGGUACCCAUUUAUCAACCAGCCCAAAAAGGAGGAUGAACAGUCAGAUGAGCACACACACACAUACACACAUACAUAGAAGUUAAUACAGGUUGUUCGUUCUAUAUAAAACACCUUUAAUAUCACUGUUACUGUUGUUCCUUGCUGUUCUGCCUCCUCCUCCUCCCUCUCCUCUCCCUCCUCAUCUUACACCCACUAAGGAGAUCAGGCGCCCAUUAACAAGUGCGACAAACACACACAUAAACACACAAACAGACAGAAGGUGGUUGAUUGCAUAUGUCACUAGCUUAAUUAAAAUGUCACCUAAGGCACAAACCGCUAUUGUACUUCGACUACCCAAGACCUACGACAAUAAGGAUGAGAAACAACGGCAGAUGAUGAUAUAAGCGACAGAACCGGCGUGCGAGUAAAAAGACGCUGCUUGCAAAUUUGGCGAACCUAUAAGUGGAGGAAAUUAAUAGAAUCGCUACGUCUAUGCUCGGAAACCAUACCAGUACAAAUAGAAGUAGUAGUAGUAGUAGUGAUAGUAGUAGUAGUAGUUCACAGUAACCCCACACAUAAGCCCCUCCCACUAGACAAGCAAGCACCAAUAGGAAUCAACCUUUCCCAGCAUCCACCAAUCACACGCCUCUUGAAUUGAAAAGGGGCGUGGCUUACCUGUGAACUGACCAAUGAUAUACAAGGAUUGAGAAAAGUGGGAGGAGCUUAUUUGUGAAGUUAAGAAUCAACCUUUCCCAGCAUCCACCAAUCACACGCCUCUUGAGUUGGAAAGGGGCGUGGCUUACCUGUGAACUGACCAAUGAUAUACAAGGAUUGAGAAAAAAGGGAGGAGCUUAUUUGUGAAGUUGAAUGAAUGGAGUAUAAUAGAAGUAGUAGUAGUAAUAGUAAUGGAAAUGGUAGUUGUAGUAGUAGUUUCUAGACAGACUAUCGGCUACAUACGCGUUACGUCAAAGGUGGUGUGUGUCUUUCAGAGGCGGGAAGACACUUGGCACUUGGUUCAAACUCGCCCACUACUGACAGCGCCGAGGGACAAAGGGACAACACAGGCGACGGGAGAUAGACGACACCCGCCCUCCUGCCUUCCUCUCUGAUCUGUCGCACGGCCUUACGAGGGGAAUUUACAGUGUGCGAUCUCAUGCAUUAUAAGUAGUAGUAGUAGUAGUAGUAGUAGUAGUAGUAGUAGUAGUAGUAGUAGUAGUAGUAGUAGUAGUAGUAGUAGUAGUUGUUUAUGUGGUUGAGCUAUAUGUGGUUAGUUUCAUUCUCUCUCUCUCUCUCUCUCUCUCUCUCUCUCUCUCUCUCUCUCUCUCUCUCUCUCUCUCUCUCUCUCUCUCUCUCUCUCUUAAUGAACUUUUACACUCUCUAAAUACAAACUUUCAUGCUCUCUCUCUCUCUCUUUCUUUCUCUUGCUGGAUUUUCACAUUCCCUCUUCAUACAAACUUUCAUAUUCUUCUCUCUUUCUCUCUCUCUCUCUCUCUCUCUCUCUCUCUCUCUCUCUCUCUCUCUCUCUCUCUCUCUCUCUCUCUCGUAAUAUACAGCCAUCGUCUUCCCUUUCUCUCUUUUUCUCUCUUUCUCUCCUUCCUUCCUUUCAUCCGCCUGGCCAGUUAGACAUUUUUAGUUAUUCCUUUUUCUUUCCUUCCUUCCUUUCUCCCCUUCUUUUUUUCUCUCCAUUCAGCCAGACAGCACUUCCAUUCCUCCUUCCUUUCCUUUCCUUUUCUUCCUUCCUUCCUUUCUUCCAUCCAUUCAUCACUUGUAUUUUUCCUUCCUCCCUUCCUUCCUUCCUUCUUAACCUUCAUCCAUUCACCCUCCCUUCCUUCUUCCUCCCUUCCUCCCUUGCCCCUCCCCUUCCCUCCCUCCAUUUCAACAUUUUUUACCAUUUCUUUUUCUUUCCUUCCUUCCUUUCUCCCCUUCUUUUUUUCUCUCCAUUCAGCCAGACAAUCUUCCAUCCAUUUAUCACUUAUAUUUUUCCUUCCUCCCUUCUUUCCUUCCAUUCACCCACUUCCAUUUACUCUCCCUUCCUUCGUCCUCCCUUGCCCAUCCCCUCCCCCCCCCCACACACACCAUGACCCUCCCCUCGGCCAGUCUCUCCUGUCUCUCUGCUGUGCUCAGAGUGAAGCUCAACCCACUUAACUCCAGUUCCAAAUCAUGAAAUUGGACAAAGUAAAAAUUGCGCUCCCUCUCAAAAUAAUACGUAAAAUAAAUACCGAAUGGAUGAAUGGGUAAAUAAAUGGAUCGAUAAAUAAAAUAAAAUGUCCUGAAUGCCUGUUGCUUUUUGGCUUUCAUUGCUGAGUUGGUGUUUUCCUUCUUUUUCUUUCUUUCUUUUUAACUUGUAAGAAAAAAUGUUAUAGCAAUGCAAGAUUUUUUUCCACUUUUUUUAUGUGAAAAAGGAAAGUUUCGUUUAGUCGGCGCAACAUCUGUGGUCAUAUGCCGGAGAGAAACAGGAGGGGAAGGAAUUAUAGGAGAAGGGAACAGAUCCCAGGAGACGGGACACAAACCUCGAUUAAUACCUGGUACCCAUUCACUGCUGGGUGGACAGGGGCGUAGUGUAUCGGAAAAGCCGCCCAAAUUUUUCCACUCCGCCCGGGAAUCGAACCCGAGCUCUCUUGGUUGUGAGCCGAGUGUGUGUUUGAUGUGGAGAUAAAAGUUUUCUUCAGUAAUUUAACUCUUCAGAGAAAUGGAUUUGUGAGACUGUUUUUUCAGGGUCAUAGAGCUUUAUAUAUAUUUUAGACAAAUAAUUAUCUGUAAUGAAUACACUGGCAAACCUGAAUGAUAACUAACCCACAAGAUUAAGACAAAGUAAUUCAUCCUUCUGUCCCAAAUUCUACAAAAUUAUGACUCAAGGUUCUUUAGCAAUGUUGCCGCAAUUCAACUUCCUCCUGAGCCACGACUCAAAAUUCUUCAAAAUGCUACAAAAUACUUAUAAAUCCACACCACAUAAAACAGCAAUUCAAACCAAGAAGUAACAACAUCCUACCAUAAAAUAAGAGAUAAAUAUGAACAACAAAAAUAAAAGAUUAAAUAUGAAACCCCUGUUCUGUGUGGCUCCUCAAGACUCUAUUUGCAGAGAUGUUUGGUGAAUAUCUGACACAAAAUCUUUCCUCCAUCAACUCAGAAAUGUGCUUGAAAGACUCUCCUACACACACACACUGGAAAACAUGAUGAUCCACUCUGAUUUAACCUUCCUUGACACACACACAGACACACAUACUAAUUUCAAGACACACUUAAAACCUUGUGGGUAUAUACAUAUCUAUCUCUCUCGCUCUCACAAGUUUGCUUUUCACUGUAUGUCAACGAAGAUGGGCGGGUCUGAAUCAAACACGCACACACACACACACACACACACACACACACACACAUAUACUCUCUCUCACACACACUAUCCCUCUCUCUCUCUCUCUCUCACACCCACAUACACUCACUCCCUCUCACACAUUUACACACACACAAUCACUCUAUAUAAACUCAAGAGGCUACAACAUUCUCUAACAUCGACACAAGUGGAAAUAGUAUGAUUCUUUUUUCAUUCUAUCACUGUUUGCAAGGAGCUUUUUAUAGUAAACUCUCCCACACUUGACAUGAGUAGAGAUAAGGUGUCUUCUAUUGUAUGUAUAUAUAUAUCACUGUUUCUGAAGAGCUGUAUCAACAUGAGUCUUUCUAACACUUACGAGUUGAAAUAUGUUGUCUUCCAAUGUAUAUAUAUAUCACUGUUUCCGAAAAGCUGUAUUGACAUGAUUCUAACACUGACAUGAGGAGAAAUAUGUUGUCUUCCAAUGUAUAUAUAUCACUGUUUCUGAAGAGCUCGAUUGGCAACUUGGCAACACUGACACGAGGAGAAUUAUGACUCCUUCCACUGUUUACAAAGAGCGCUAUCAACACCUCUCUCACUGACGGAAAUAAGAAGCCUUCCACAAUGCAUAUCACUGUUUACAAGGAGAAAUAUGACUCCUUCCACUGUUUACAAAGAGCGCUAUCAACACCUCUCUCACUGACGGAAAUAAGAUGCCUUCCACUAUGCAUAUCACUGUUUACAAGGAGGUUUAUAUAUGGUCUUUCACUGUAUAUCACCAAGAGCUCGUAUGACAACUCUAACACUAACAUGAUCUGAAAUAUUAAGUCUGCCACUCUAUCACUGUUUCCAAGGAGCUCCAGUAAGUCUAAGGCAUCACCGUUAUGGCAGCGAGUCUGUUUUUUAUCCCACUUUGCACGUACAACCUUCAGGGGAGUGUAUGCAUGUAUGUAUGUUGCCUGAAUCUACCAGCUAAAGGGAGGACAUGUUGCUUGAUGCGUAAACUCCUUCACUGUAUCACAAGGGAGCGAGUCUGUUUUUUGUCUCACUUUGCACGAACAGCCUUCAGGGGAGUGUAUGCAUGUAUGUACGUCGCCUGAAUCUACCAGCUAAAGGGAGGACAUGCUUCUUGAUGCGUAAACCCCUUCAGUGUAUCACAAGGCUAAGGUGCAAUGAGUGUCGGGAACUUGUAAACGCUAGGGAAGGUCACACGUGUUAUCAUUCAACGUUUUGUGAUGCUGAGAUUGCAAGUGGCGUGAAGAGACUGAAGACGCCUGAAUGUUGUAUUUAAAGACAAGGAUAGAUAGACAUAUAAAGAGAUAGAGAUAGAUGGAUCAGAAGGCAUGUACUGAGAGAGAUUGCCAUAGGAAGAAAUAUAGUUAAAAAGAUAUGCAUAGAGAAGCAAGGAUGUUCAAGUUCUCAAGCGGUUUUCAUUCCACUGUCUUGGUUGCGUGAAACAUUCUGAGACAGCGACGUUCAGUACUCUAGUAUGUGAAUAUCUGACAACACUUCCUAGUACUACCCAAGACUAACUAUAUUCAAAGGACCAAGCUUCUUCAUUUGUUUAACUUCCACCGUGAGCAUUAUUUUGGCAGCCGAGCACAAAAUCACAGGCUCAAUCUCAUACAUUUCAGGGCUCACACACCCACAUUUGAUAAGGCUUUCAUAGAGGUUGUUGUGGGUAUUUCCAUGGGUAGUUAUAUGAGCCUGGUGGUAGUUUGAUAAGGCUUUCAUAGAGGUUGUUGUGGGUAUUUCCAUGGGUAGUUUUAUGAGCCUGGUGGUAGUUUGAUAAGGCUUUCAUAGUGUUUGUUGUGGGUAUUUCCAUGGGUAGUUUUAUGAGCCUGGUGAUAGUUUGAUAAGGCUUUCAGUGUUUGUUGUGGGUAUUUCCAUGGGUAGUUUUAUGAGCCUGGUGAUAGUUUGAUAAGGCUUUCAUAGUGUUUGUUGUGGGUAUUUCCAUGGGUAGUUUUAUGAGCCUGGUGAUAGUUUGAUAAGGCUUUCAUAGUGUUUGUUGUGGGUAUUUCCAUGGGUAGUUUUAUGAGCCUGGUGAUAGUUUGAUAAGGCUUUCAUAGUGUUUGUUGUGGGUAUUUCCAUGGGUAGUUUUAUGAGCCCGGUGAUAGUUUGAUAAGGUUUUCAGAGUGUUUGUUGUGGGUAUUUCCAAGGGUAGUUUUAUGAGCCUGGUGAUAGUUUGACAAGGCUUUAUACCAUGAAUGUGAAAAGUACACCCACAUUCAGGCUUAGAGGGCUGAGAAAGAGUGGACUGUAUCUUAAGUGGUUUUUGAGAGGUGUAAGGGAGCUUUGAGUGGGCUGAGAGGGCUAAGAGAGGGAAGGACUGUAUCUUGAAUGUCUUGAGUGGUUUUGGAGUGGUGUACAAGGCUUCAUGAGUGGGCUGACGGGGCCAAGAAGGAGUGGACCGUAUCUUGUGUGGGUAUUUCCAUGGGUUGUUUUAUGAGCCUAGUGAUAGUUUGGUAAGUUUCUAUACCAUGAACAUGAAAAGUACGCCCACAUUAAGGCUUUCAUACAGGUUAUUGUGUGGGUAUUUCAAUGGGUAGUUUUAUGAGCCUGGUGAUAGUUUGACAAGGCUUUUACACCAUGAACGAGAAAAACAUGCCCACAUCCAUAUUAAGGCUUUCGUAUAGCUUGUUGUGGGUAUGUCCAAGGGUUGUUUUACGAGCCUAGUGAUAAUUUAACAAGGGUUCUGCACCAUGAAUGUAAAAAAAUACCCACAUUAAGGCUUAGAGGGCUGAGAGAGAGUGGACUGUAUCUUGUGUGGGUAUUUCCAUGGGUUGUUUUACGAGCCUAGUGAUAGUUUAACAAGGGUUCUACACCAUGAAUAUAAAAAACACUCACGGGAACCCACCUAACCUCCUCUGUGAACUUUAGAAAUGCUUAAAAGUUAACUAUUCCUCAUGAUAAUUGGAAAGACUGUGUGCAUGCAUAUUAAAUUACUCUUCCAUGCAGAGAAUGUAACAGUAAUAUCUGGGAUUGUUAAAAUACUGGAACCAUCAAAUAUAUGGAAGGGAAAUACGAACGAGAGGAGAUAUUGGGAAAGAUGAAAAGAGAGAACUGGAGUGAAAAUUUCUGAGCUAAUAGUGAAUGUUGGUGUAAGGAAACUGUCUCAUAUAGAAUGCAUACAAUUUUUUUUUUUCACGGUAAAGGACAUAAACACUUCACACACACACACACACACACACACACACACACACACACACACACACACAGAGUAAAGACAGAAAAAUAAGCCACGAGACACUUCAGAAAAAAAAAAGGAUAUGGACCAAGACUUAAAAAUGAAAAAAAAGUUAGUGAAAAAAAAAAAAAUCACAUUCAGAAAAAAAGUUACAGAACAAGAAAGAAAGAAAGAGAAAGAAAGAAAAAAAAGAAAGAAAGAAAGAGAGAGAUGAAGCUUUGUAAAUGGCUAACAUCUUGCAUUAAAAAAUAAAUAAAUAAAUAAAUAAAUAAAUAAACAAAUACUAACAGGCUAAGCACACCAAGCCGGAAGGAGAGUGGAGGCGCGACGCAAUGAAGAACGGCUAUCGGCAAGGCACCGGAAUAGGGACACAAACACACACAAACACACACACACACACACACACACACACACACACACACAAAUGCACACCAGUAGAGACAGCCAGAGAUACACACACACACAGAUACAAAACAAACACAAACACACACACGCACACACUGGAGGGACAUGCAAGCGACAGAUCCACAAAGAAGCAAAAAUAAAGAAGAAAAAAAAAAAAAAAACACGAGGCAGGAAUCAUUUUUGGCAGGAGGGAGCGAGGACGAUUUGGGUCAAUUUCGGACUCCGCAGGACGAUCAAUUUCACCGAGGACCACGAGGGACACUACAGUCAUCCCUUAAAUAGUACGGUUUCCAAUAGCUCAGUUUCGGUUUUGUGGAUUUUCAUAGAUUUUUUUUGGAUUUUUAAAUUUCCCGACAAGCAGGAAAUUUAAAAAUCCUAUAGUUCAGUUUUGGUUUUAUGUGGAUUUUCUAAGAUUUUUUUAGGAUUUUUAAAUUUCCCGACUGAGCAGGAAAUUUAAAAAUCCUAUAGUUCAGUUUUGGUUUAGUGGAUUUUCAUAGAGGAUUUUUUAGGAUUUUUAAAUUUCCCGACGAGCAGGAAACUUAAAAAUCCUAUAGUUCAGUUUCGGUUUAGUGGAUUUUCAUGGAAGAUUUUUGGGGGGAUUUUUAAAUUUCCCGACCGAGCAGGACACUUAAAAAUCCUAUAGUUCAGUUUUGGUUUUAUGUGGAUUUUCUAAGAUUUUUUUAGGAUUUUUAAAUUUCCCGACAAGCAGAAAAUUAAAAAAUCCUGUAGUUCAGUUUCGGUUUUGUGGAUUUUCAUUGAAGAUUUUUUUUGGAUUUUUAAAUUUCCCGACCGAGCAGGAAAUUUAAAAAUCCUACAGUUCAGUUUCGGUUUUGUGGAUUUUCAUAGAGGAUUUUUUAGGAUUUUUGAAUUUCCCAACCGAGCAGGAAAUUUAAAAAUCCCAAAAAGAUCUUCCAGACAAUCUGUAUAAAACUGAAACUGAACUAUUGAAAACUGUACUAUUUAAGGGAUGACUGUAUUAAUUUUUCACGUAUACAGUGGACGCAUGAGUGAGAUCAACAUUCACCAAUUAGAACACACUCUUCCGAGCAGCGCUAACAUUAGGAAAAGAGGAAAACGGAAACAGAUAUUCACACUGAGUAAAAAAAAAUCGAAUUGUUAUCAGAACGAAAACGGUGGACGCAUGUGAGUGAGAUAAACAUUCACCGAUUUGAACGCACUCUUCCGAUCAGCGCUAACAUUAGGAAAAGAGGAAACGGAAUCGGAUAUUCGCACCAAGUAAAAAAAAUCAAAUUGUUAUAAGAACGAGAACUGGUCAUCCUUCUACAUAGUUUCGUUCUUUCAACUCAAGGCAGACCGAGGAUAAGGACGAACUAACAAACUAACAAUCACGCACCCACCACUAGGAGCUAAAACACACACACACACACACACACACACAUACACAAUCGCAACACAUACUUAUACACAUUCUUUAGUCUGGCAUGGAAUCGAAGGAGCCUAAUAUCGUGGCAAAGGAUGGAGAUUAAGACGCAAUACCUUCAACAGCAGAGAGAGUGGUUAUUCUAUCCCUAAAUCAAGGAUAAUGUCCCCUAACUAGUAUCCCUAAACCUUGGUAAAUGUCUGGAGAAUAUCCGUAAAUACUUCAACAUGGGGUCGUUUGGGGUACAGGCAAGGUCGGGUCGGAAAGCAAUCUUGUAGGCGGCGACGGAAAGGAAUAUAUGAAGCGAAGGAAAAAAAGAUUAUACAUGGAAAUUACAAUAAAUUAUGCUUUUCAGGAUCAGUAACGUUCUUCCUCUUCCUCUUCUUCUUCCUCUUCCUCUUCCUCUCCUUCAUUAUCUAAACUCAAGACUUCACACAUAUAUUAAAGUGAGGAAUAUGGAAGAGACUAACAACAAGCCCUCCUCCUCUUCUUCUUCCUCUUCCUCUUCCUUCUCAACCCAAACUCAAGACUUCACACAUAUAAUAGAGUGAGGAAUAUGGAAACACACACAACAAGCCCUCCUCCUCUUCUUCCUCUUCCUCCUCCUCUUCUCUCUUCCAAUCAAAGACCAACACUUCACACAUCCAUAAGAGGGGAAUAUAGGAGGAAGACUUAACAUCAAGCCCUCCUCCUCCUCUUCCUCCUCCUCCUAAAACACUCCACACUUGGUCACCACUAAAAGAAAAGGUUGUGGGGGGCCAAAAAUGAAGCCAAAAACUACAUACUCAUAAAGAUAUAAAAAAACGUAUCACAAAUGACAGGACAGGAGAGAGAGGCCUUGAGGGGGAUGAGAGGGAUGAGAGGGGUGAGCGAGGAAAUGGGAGGUGUUCUUGAGUGGGCUAUAGAACUAAUAGGGACUGUACUAGCUCAAAGGGAGUGGUUGUUGAGCGGUGUAAGAGGGUUUCGAGUGGGCUGAGAGGGUUGAGAGGACUAAGAGAGGGGGAGACUGUAUCAUGAGUGGUUCCGAGUGGUUUGGAAGGGUCUCGAGUGGGCGGAGAGAGGGGGGACUAUCGUAAAAGGGGAGGUGAUGGAGGGGGUGACUUACAAGAGUGAUGGGUCUGUUUAGUGGUUUAGAAGUGGUUUAGAAGUGUCUUGAGUAGGCUGAGAGAGGGGGGACUAUCGUAAAAGGGGAGGAGAUGGAGGGGGUGACUUACAAGAGUGAUGGGUCUGUUUAGUGGUUUAGAAGUGGUUUAGAAGUGUCUUGAGUAGGCUGAGAGAGGGGGGACUAUCGUAAAAGGGGAG